GUAAGUCCCUUGAAUCCAGGGUGCUGGUUUCUUUCCAGUGCAUCCUUGGGACAGUGUUGGCACGUAACUGACACAGGAGGUCAUCUCGUUCCAUCCCUCUGAGUCGUUGCUCAUCAAUCAUACUGGGAAGCUGACUUUUAUUCUGCACACUUCACCACUAACUGCAUUACAGAGCUGAAAAACUUACUCAAAGUUUAGAAUGUGAUAAACGUAAUCAAAUUGCUCUAGUCAAAUUCUAACAGUGGUGAAUAGAUGACACUAAUUACCUUUUGUUAUUAUGCUACAAAUGUGGUUUACUCCAUCUUUAUUCAUGAAGAAAUAUCAUACAGCCCACUGAGAGGACUGCAGCAGGAUGUAAUAUUGGUUUAUUUGUUUCCUUAGUUUUACUUCUUUCUUUACCAGCAUCCAAGAGAUGAAAUUUUAAGCUGCAAUAUAUUUAUAUGCGGUAGUUUUUUACCCACUUUGGAAGAUAAUUGUUACCCACUGCAAAGCCUCACAAUUCUGCAUAAACAAGUGCUUUCAAAACUCCAGUAAAAUGAUAGCUUACUUUUGUUUCAGAGUAAGUGACAUAUUGUUUUUAAAUGAGUUAACACAGAAAGAAAUGGAGCAUGUGCUAAAAAUAAUGCAUCGAGAUGAGAGAAAUUGAACCACUCUUCGGAAAAAAAUGUGGAACUAUGCUACCUUUAAAGUUUUUUCUACAUUUUUACAUGUGGAAAUUUCUCAGUAAUUCACCUUGAAACUAGUUUAUAGGAAAUAAUUAUUCAAACUUGCUUACAUGUUGUAUGGUUGAAAUAAUUUACAUACCUAUUUCCAGUGGUCAUAGUAGAGCCAAGUUUCAAAAACCUGUCAUCAGAUGAUUACAUAUGCAUUCUAUACAUCAAAUAGGCACAAUUAUCUGUGAAUGCUUCUGUUUCCAUUUGUCAGAUAACCAGAAACGCUUGCAAGGUUCAGCCAACCUAAAUAUUUUCUCAAGAGUCCAUAAGGCUUACUUAGGAUACUAAAGGUUAGGUUAUUAAAAUAAUAAGCAGAAGUAUGCCUAUAACAUCUUAAGUACAAUAGAAUAUUAAUUGAUUUUAGAACCAUUAAAUUCUUAACAUACCAAUGGAAAGUAUAUCUGAAGUUC
rnacentral:lncRNA from 1 species